rnacentral:rRNA from 1 species
GAUGAACGCUGGCGGCGUGCCUAAUACAUGCAAGUCGAGCGAACGGACGAGAAGCUUGCUUCUCUGAUGUUAGCGGCGGACGGGUGAGUAACACGUGGAUAACCUACCUAUAGGACUGGGAUAACUUCGGGAAACCGGAGCUAAUACCGGAUAAUAUUUUGAACCGCAUGGUUCAAAAGUGAAAGACGGUCUUGCUGUCACUUAUAGAUGGAUCCGCGCUGCAUUAGCUAGUUGGUAAGGUAACGGCUUACCAAGGCAACGAUGCAUAGCCGACCUGAGAGGGUGAUCGGCCACACUGGAACUGAGACACGGUCCAGACUCCCACGGGAGGCAGCAGUAGGGAAUCUUCCGCAAUGGGCGAAAGCCUGACGGAGCAACGCCGCGUGAGUGAUGAAGGUCUUCGGAUCGUAAAACUCUGUUAUUAGGGAAGAACAUAUGUGUAAGUAACUGUGCACAUCUUGACGGUACCUAAUCAGAAAGCCACGGCUAACUACGUG